CCCCCGGGGAGAGCUGGAAGAAGUAGCUAGGGAGAGGGAAGUCUGGGCUUCCCUGCUAAAGCUGUUGCCCCCGCGACCCGGCCCCGGAUAAGCGGUAGAUGAUGGAUGGAUGGAAAAAACCUUACACCCAAAGAGCAGGCAAAAUCUAAAUUGGAGAAAAAGACAAGGUCUCCCAGAGCAAAUUUGAGGAGACCAUGGAAUGAAGAAGAAAAGGCUGCUGUGGAAAAACACCUGGGGAGACUUAUAAAAGGGUGUCAAGCAAGAACAAUGCACUGACUGCAAAAUGAAAGAGCCGCAGGCCUUGGCUCAAAGAACCUGUAAAGACGUAAAGAACUUCAAGAAAAGAUCUGCUUCUCGAGUUCUUCAUUUUUAAAUUUAAAUUUUUUUGCUGGAGUAUUUUUUUUCAAUUCUUUUCUACUCUUCCUGAGCAGUGUUGUUAAAAAUGUUCUACUUGAGGUGAGAUUUAAUGUUGACAUGUACUUAUAAAGUUUUACAAUAUAUUUGAUUUAGUUCCGUAAAUGAAUUGGCCAAAGCAUGGGUCACUUUUAUUGUAGUAGUAAUUGUACAGCAAUCAAUCGGUUCAAGUUGUGAUUGAUAUAUAAUGUAUAAAUGAGGAACUCUGCUUAUCUUAAGUUGAAACUAUCAAAUUAUUCAUAAAACAGACUACUCACACUUUUUAAAAUUAAAAUACAAAAUGUCUGCUGUGUAAUUGCAGGUUAAUAAGAGAGGAAAAACUCUGAAGGCCAUACCAAAAGUUGAUUUGUAUGCUUAACUGCAACAAAACCAAAAAAGAUAAGAUAUUUUAACCAAAGUCACAACAGGAGUGAGGACUUUGAAUGUGCCCAUUCAGAGUCCUCACUCCUGCUAUGAUUUCAGUUUCAAGUCUACUUUUUAUUGCUCUGUUUUUUAAAGAAGUUGAAGUGGGGAAAGUAGUUGGGGUGACAUCUAGUGUACAAAUCUAAGACUAGUACCUCUCUAAACCUAUCAGAAAGGGUGGUCCUCACUCCUUAUCUGGAGUUACCCGGACCUCACAAAUAUAGUCUUACAGGAAUGUGUGUGUGUGUGUGUGUGUGUGUGUGUGUGUGUGUGUGUGUGUGUGUGUGUGUGUGUGUGUGUGUGUGUGUGUGUGUGUGUGUGUGUGUGUGUGUGUGUGUGUGUGUGUGUGUGUGUGUGUGUGUGUGUGUGUGUGUGUGUGUGUGUGUGUGUGUGUGUGU